GUGCUCUCUUCAGCAGCACAAAUACUAAAAUUGGAAUGAAACAGAGAAGAUUAUCAUGGUCCUUUCACAGGAUGACAUACAAAUUCAUGAAGUAUUCCUGAUUCAU
ensembl:snRNA U6 U6 spliceosomal RNA